CUCACUCAGGUCUGCCUUCUCCUUCAGGUGGUCCAUAAAGCUGCUCUGGAGCCAAAAUAUUGCAGUCACAUCUCGGCAGCGACCUGCCCUCAGGUGGCAUUUUCAAGUCAUGGAGAAGGCGGAGAUCAUCUUUGUAACAAGAAGAAAACCAACCAAAUGAAAAUGAAAUGAAUUCUCUCAAAAAGAAUUAAGUCAAGACAGGAAGAAGGCUCGCAAAGUAAUAUAAAAUAUAUCUUAUGGUUUAUGUAAAAUUCUUAAUAAAAUACCUUCUUUGCUCCAAGCUGCACUCUGGCUUUGCCUUUGGGUCAGGUGGCAUUUCUUUGCACGAUGACUGGUUUUAUUGAGUAGGCACUGCUUCAGCCCUACAGGAAGAACAAAACCUCUCUGGAACACAGCAGCAUUCCUGACUCCCACUUGAGGAGGCCUAACAAAACGGCAUAUGCCUCAACAGCAGCAGAUCAGUGUUAAAAAGUCUGGAGUCAAGGGGAAAAAGUAAAAUUGGACCAUUUCCAAAAUCUCACAAAAAGCAACAAACUGACGUUCUAAGUGCCCAACAUGAGCAAAUUAGAACCUUAAAUAAAGGUCACUCUUAAUGCCUAUCCCAGCAUAGAUGCAGCACCAAGUACAGUGUCAUUUUACUGGUUUACCUUUUUCAUUCUUGAAAGUAGGAGCUAUGAAAAAAAAACACUAAAAUUUCUCUAAGAGAACCUUCUACUUUCUGUCUAACUUACAUAAUCAAAACACUCUAUUGAGGGUGAAAAUUGAAUAUUAUAAGAAAAUAAUCACGUGUUUUGCGAGAAGUUGCAAAUAUAAUGCUCCUCCACCCAAUACCUACCUUAAAAAGAAAAAAGGAAACAUACAAAAUUAUCUCGAGAAUUAUUCCUGCUUAAACAAUGUCUACGUGCCAUUACUAAGAAAGUAUGCACACAGUAAAGAUGAGAAGAGAACAUGCAAGCGUGAACAUACUUGUUAGGGAUAUAGGACUAUGGGUAAUUUAAACAUUUUAAUGGUAUUACUCUCAUGUAAUUGCUCUGAAAUUCUAGUCAGUUGUUUGAAAUGGCUCUUAGAACAGAAUACUUUGACAUUUUUAUGAUGUCAAAAACUAAGAACUUAGCCCUAAAUAUUCCAAAGAAUAGGUGCAGAAGAACCCAUUUCCUUAAACGGCAUUUGAGUAUUCUUCACAACUCAAACUUUCUCUCCCAUCCUGUGAUGGCCGAGAGUUUUUCCUCUGACGACGGCACUGACCUUACCCUAUCCAAAAUAUGAACAUCUGCAUGGUUUCCUGGUUCAAAUUGUUUUUAUCCAUUCUGUCGUGAGAAUCAAAUGGUUCAGACCAUGCAGCACCUCUCUGGGACUUCUCAAGUCCUUUCUAGAUCUGAAGACUAUUCUCUGAACCAAAGACAACUUCUGGGGGUGUACCAAAUCUCCCAUUAGAAAAUUAUUAAGAUCAAGAUGUUUUAACCUUUUAACUCUUUCUCAAACAAAAUAAAUUCGUUUCUCCUUUACUGUUAUUUUAAAUUUCAAAAUACACAGAUAGUAUAUCUAAAAUAAAAUCAAGAGAAUGACAGUUUUAGAACACAAACUGUGGUAAUUUUGAAAACACAAAAGCUAAGACCACUAAUUAGGUCUAUGUGGACACCAAGUCCACCACAACCUGUUCUGUCCUCCGGGGCUCUGCCCACGCCUUUCCCUUGCCUGAGAUUCCUUCUGCUUCCUACCCUUCCAAAUGCUGUAUUUCCCCCUGGAAGACUUGCCAAGACCACUCUAACCUGCACAUCUCCCAUUCCAGCUAACCAAAGGCAUCCUUGGGUUGACUAAACCAAAUUAUUUUGCAGACAAGGCAUCUAAACACUUCCACUGUAGACUAUUCACCUUAAUAAUUGUUAUUGUGACAUUAUUCAAUAAUAAAAUGAGGGAAAGAAGUCCUCUUCAAUCCCUUAUCCUGGAGAACCCAAGCAAGUGUCUUUCCCACUUGCUUUGCCCAAACCCUGGGACCUUUCUAAGUAAAAGUUUAAUGGAAGGGAAAGAAAAUCUAAAAGAAAAACUCUCCAAGAAAUUAAACUCGGGCAAAGAUUCAUGGGAUUAAAAAUUUUUAUUCUUUGUGUAUCUGAUUUCCGAAACAUAGAAAUCUCUCUCCCACUCCUUAAACCUGCCACUGGGCUAAGAGAGUAUUGUACAGAAUAUGCACUCACUGACUUAACAGAAUUAGAACAUCCAGGCACUCACUGAGAUUUUGCUUCCACAACCGCUCAAAGUCUAGUCAUUAGUUCAUGAGUUAACACCACACUUGACCUUCAAAUUUUGGAAAUGCUGACGGUAGACAGGGACUUGUUUUGGGAAAGGAAGUACACAGUAGACAUUGUUACCCAUGACCCAACCACCACCACCUUUCCUUUAAAGAACCCCACUCUUCCUUUAAGGUUGCAGAGUCUCAGAAAGUGGGAAGAAAGGAAGUUUUUGCAUUUUCAGGUCAAAACGAAGUACAUUUGUGCAACCACAUAAUGCCCAUGCAAAGGUUUCUUGAAAUCUAAACACAAGACAGAAGUAGUUCUAGCACCUCCACAAAAAGUAAGGUAAGUAAGCUUUUCCUUAAUAUACACUUUCAGCAGCAUCAACACCUAAAAGUGGUUGACUUUACUACUGUACUAAAUUAAAUUACAUUCAUUUUGUCAAUAGGUGUUCCAAAUUCGUACUGAUCUUUGUCUCCAAGGGGUUCCUGCUGAAUAUUGAGACAGUUGAAGAUUACUAGGGGAAAAAAUUCUUAAUAAUCGAAGUAAGGAUCAUCUAAGGAUAAUAUGCCACAUAUACAGACACAGUCACAUUUUCAGCUUUACAAAAGUUCAGUUAUCAAAGUUGUACAGCAAACACUAUCCUAAGCUUAGUGUCUUCAGGCAUUUGAUUUAUAAUCACUGUAAAGAAAAAUCAGUCACAAAAUGCCACUGUUGUAUGAUUCUAUUUAUAUGAAAUGCCCAGGAUAGGCAAAUCUACAGAGAUAGAAGUUAGAUCAGAGGUUGCCAGGAUCAAUGGUGGGGGAGAGAGCUACAGGGAGUGACUGCUAGUGGGUACGGGGUUCUUUUUGGGGAGAUGAAAAUGUUCUGAAAUUAGGGAGUGGUAAUGGCUGCAUAACUCUGAAUAUACUAAAAACCACUGAACUGUACACUUGAAGGGUGAGGCUUAUCAUACAAAAACUGUAUCACAAUAAAGCUCUUAGUUUAAAAAAUGUUUGUCUAUGUCAAGAAACAAAGAAAUAGGGUCAUAGCUAGAAGAUAUGGGAUAUAAAAUACUGGAACAAAACUGCUUAAUAAUAUAUCUAGAAUCACACAAUGCUUAGUCUUUACGCUGACUAAAAUCACGAGAUUUGUGUUUUAUCGGUAUUUCACGUUUUUUACUUCUUCUAAGUCAGCCAGUAAUUCCUCCUUCUCACUUAAUCGUUGACUACAAAGACCAAGCCAUUUUGACUCUGCCACCGAUGAGCUUUCACAUUUCUUUCCUCCUUCCAUUCCCAUGACUACCAAACCAGUGCAGGUUCUCCUCACUUCACUCUAAGACAACAGCGUGGCCCUCAAAUACUGUCACACUCUUCAAGGCUCUGUGAGCACAAUCUGUCUCAUAUUCUCUUCUGCUGUCACCAGAUUUAUUCUAAGACCGUUUCUUCACUGUUACUCCCCUGUUUCUCAACCAGUUACACAGAAAGACGAAUAUCCAGGCAUGGUGUCAUGUGCCUGUAGUCCCAGCUACUCAGGAGGCUGAGGCGGCAGGAUCGCUUGAGAAUGUGAGAUUCAGACUGCAGUGAGCCAUGAUCAUGCCACCGCACUCCAGCCUGGGCAACAGAGUGAGAUUGUCUCAAUAAAUAAAUAAGUAAAUAAAUAAAUAAAUAAAUGAAUAAAUAAAUGUGGUCUAUCCAUGCAACGGAAUACUAUAAAAUUAUCAGCCUUAAAAAAGAAAGAAGCCCUGUCACAUGCUGCAAUAUAGAUGAACCUUGAAAACAUUACACUAAUUGAAAUCAGCCCAUCACACAAAGACAAAUGCUGUACAAUUUCUCUUACAUUAGGUUCGAAAUUAGUCAAACUCAUAGAAACAGAAAAUAGAGCGGUUGUUUCCAUAAGCCAGGGGAUAGAGAAAUGGGGAGUUGUUGUAUAGUGGCUAUAGUUUCAGUUCUCCAAGAGAAGCAAGUUCUAGAAACUCGUUACUCAACGUAUAUUUUUAACACUACUGCACUGUAUACUUACAAGUGGCUAAUAUGGUAAAUUUUAUGUUGUGCCUUAUCACCAUAAUGUUUUUAAAAGAAGGGGUUUGUGUUUCCCUUCGUUGUGAUCACCCAUUUUUCACUUCAGCAUUUUGAACUUGAGAUUUCCUGUAGCGGUUUUACUGAGCCCUGCAGUUACCGGCUCAGAAUGUCUCCACCGCCUUGUAACCUUGUAGGCAGACACUUUUCAGCAUCUUAUUGGGCUCCGUGUGCUUGAUGCUUAAAGUGACAUGGAGACAUGCCACUUGCUGAGAAGCAAAGAAAGGCAAAAGGUGACUGCUUUCCUGGCAUCGAUGAAGGCAGAGAGAAGGGAUCUUGGAGGCACAGAUAUUAAGCCAUAAGCAAUAACAUGGGUUGCCAAAAAGAGAACUAACCCCUCUCCUGGUAACAUUUCCAGGUGUUUUUCACAGGGCCAGUGGAUUUCACAAUGUGAGUGCUGUCCAGCACCAAAGGGAAUGGCCAACAGGCAUGGAGCAGCCUACAGCGUCCAGCACCCAGUAGGAUGGCCAGGAGGCACGGAGCAGCCUGCCUGUCCCAGGAAAGCAGGAGUCACAGGACACAACUGGACCCAGGUAGGCAUGUAUGUUACUUUCCUGUGGCUGUUAGAGCAAAUUACCAAAAAUGUGGUGACUUAAAACAACAGAAAUUUAUUUUCUCACAGUUUUGGAUAUCAGAAGUCCAAAAUCAGUAUCACUGGGCUGAAAUCUAGGUCUCAGCAGAGCCAGUGCUCUCAGAGGCUGAGGGGAAAAUCCAUCCUUUGACUUGCGCAGCUUCUGAUGGCUGCUGGCAUUCAUUGGCUUGCAGCUCCACCACUCCAGGCUCUGCCUUCUUGGUCACAGGGCCUCCUUCUCUUCUGUCUGAAGUUAAAUCUCCUUUAUCUCCCUCUUAUAAGGAUAUAUGUGCCAGGAUUUAAUGCCCACGGAGACAAUCCAGGAUAAUCUCUCCUCAAGAUCCUUAACUUAAUCAUACCUGAAAAUAUGCUUUUUCCAAAUGAGGUAACAUCUACAGGUUCUAGGAGUUCCAGACCAGCCUGGACGACAUGGUGAAACACGGUCUUUUUUUUUUUUUUUUUUUUUUUUUUGAGCGGAGUUUCGCUCUUGUUUUCCAGGCUAGAGUGUUUUCCGGUCUCGACUCACCGCGGCCUCCACCUCCCGGUUAGGUGGUUCUCCUGCCUAAGCCUCCUGAGUGGCUGGGAUUGCAGGCAUGAGCCACCAUGCCAGCUAAUUUUGGUGGUUUUUUUUUUGUACAGACGGGGUUUCUCCGUGUUGGCCGGGCUGAUCUCAAGCUCCUGACCUCGGGUGAUCCGCCCGCCUCCGCCUCCCUGGGUGCUGGGAUUGCAGGCGUGAGCCACCGCGCCCCCGGUCCAAUUUAGUAACCAGAAAGGAAUAGAUCGGCCUGGCGUGGUAGCUCAUGCUUGUGAUCCCAGUACUGUGGACGGCCGAGCGCGGCGAUCGAUUGAGCCUAGGACUUCCAGACCGGCCUGGGCAACGUGGUGAAACACUGUCUUUUUUUUUUUUUUUUUGAGUGGAGUUUCGCUCGUUUUGCAGGCUGGAGUGCAGUGGCGUGGUCUCGACUCACCGCGGCCUCCACCUCCCGGGUUUAGGUGGUUCUCCUGCCUCAGCCUCCUGAGUGUCUGGGAUUGCAGGCAUGAGCCACCAUGCCAGCUAAUUUUGGUUUUAUUUUUUUGGUACAGACGGGGUUUCUCCGUGUUGGUCGGGCUGAUCUCGAGCUCCUGACCUCGAGUGAUACGCCCGCCUCCGCCUCCCUGGGUGCUGGGAUUGCAGGCGUGAGCCACCGCGCCCCCGGUCCAAUUUAGUAACCAGAAAGGAAUAGAUCGGCCUGGCGUGGUGCCUCCCCCUUGUGAUCCCAGGACUUUGGAAGGCCGAGUGUGGCAGAUCGCUUGAGCCUAGGAGUUCCAGACCGCCUGGGCAACAUGGUGAAACCCGGUCUCUGUUUUGAGAUGGAGUUUCACCCUUGUUGUCCAGGCUGGAGUGCAAUGGUGUGAUCUUUGCCCACCGCAACCUCGGCCUCCCGGAUUUAGGUGAUUCUCCUGCCUGGGCCUCCCUAGUAGCUGGGAUUACAGGCAUGAGCCACCAUAUCCGGCUAAUUUUGUAGUUUUUUUCUUUUUUUUAGUAGAGACGGGAUUUCUUCAUGUUGGUCAGGCUGGUCUCCGACCUCGGGUGAUCCGCCCACCUCUGCCUUCCAAAGUGCUGGGAUUGCAGGCCUGAGCCACUGCG
rnacentral:lncRNA from 1 species